rnacentral:rRNA from 1 species
AGUGAACGCUGGCGGUAGGCCUAACACAUGCAAGUCGAACGGCAGCACAGUAAGAGCUUGCUCUUACGGGUGGCGAGUGGCGGACGGGUGAGGAAUACAUCGGAAUCUACUUUUUCUUGGGGGAUAACGUAGGGAAACUUACGCUAAUACCGCAUACGACCUACGGGUGAAAGCAUGGGAUCUUCGGACCUUGCGCGAUUGAAUGAGCCGAUGUCGGAUUAGCUAGUUGGCGGGGUAAAGGCCCACCAAAGCGACGAUACGUAGAUGGGCUGAGCGGAUGAGAAGCCCCCCUGGAAUGGAGCCACGGCACAGACUACUCUGGGAGGCAGCAGUGGGGAAUAUUGGACAAGGGGAGGAACGCUGGCCUAGACAUACCGCGUGGGUGACGAAGUCCUGCGGGUUUGAAAGCUAUUCUGUUGGGAAAGAAAAGUAGCGGCUUAAUCCUGCGAUGUUCUGACGGUACCAAACGAAUAAGCACCGGCUAACUCCGUG